UGCCUACGGGAGGCAGCAGUGGGGAAUAUUGGGCAAUGGGCGCAAGCCUGACCCAGCAACGCCGCGUGAAGGAAGAAGGCUUUCGGGUUGUAAACUUCUUUUGUCAGGGACGAAGCAAGUGACGGUACCUGACGAAUAAGCCACGGCUAACUACGUGCCAGCAGCCGCGGUAAUACGUAGGUGGCGAGCGUUGUCCGGAAUUACUGGGUGUAAAGGGAGCGUAGGCGGGAGAGCAAGUCGACUGUGAAAUCUAUGGGCUUAACCCAUAGCUGCGAUCGAAACUGUUCAUCUUGAGUGAAGUAGAG
rnacentral:rRNA from 1 species